rnacentral:rRNA from 1 species
UGAGGAAUAUUGGUCAAUGGGCGAGAGCCUGAACCAGCCAAGUAGCGUGCAGGAUGACGGCCCUCCGGGUUGUAAACUGCUUUUAGUUGGGAAUAAAAAAAGGGACUUGUCCCUUCUUGUAUGUACCUUCAGAAAAAGGACCGGCUAAUUCCGUGCCAGCAGCCGCGGUAAUACGGAAGGUCCAGGCGUUAUCCGGAUUUAUUGGGUUUAAAGGGAGCGUAGGCGGAUUGUUAAGUCAGCGGUUAAAGGGUGUGGCUCAACCAUGCAUUGCCGUUGAAACUGGUGAUCUUGAGUGCAGACAGGGAUGCCGGAAUUCGUGGUGUAGCGGUGAAAUGCUUAGAUAUCACGAAGAACUCCGAUCGCGAAGGCAGGUGUCCGGGCUGCAACUGACGCUGAGGCUCGAAAGUGUGGGUAUCAAACAGGAUUAGAUACCCUGGUAGUCCACACAGUAAACGAUGUAUACUCGCGGUUUGCGAUAGAGUGUAAGCCGCCAAGCGAAAGCAUUAAGUAUACCACCUGGGGAGUACGCUGGCAACGGUG